rnacentral:rRNA from 1 species
UACGUAGGGUGCGAGCGUUAAUCGGAAUUACUGGGCGUAAAGUGUGCGCAGGCGGCCGCGCAAGUCGAGUGUGAAAGCCCCGAGCUUAACUUGGGAACUGCGCUCGAAACUACGUGGCUGGAGUGUGGCAGAGGAAGGUGGAAUUCCAGGUGUAGCGGUGAAAUGCGUAGAUAUCUGGAGGAAUACCGGUGGCGAAGGCGGCAUCCUGGACCGGCAUUGACGCUGAUGAGCGAAAGCUAGGGGAGCAAACGGG